GCCAGUGUGGUGUAGUGCUUUGAGCGCUGGAUUGACUCUGGAAGCCAGGGUUCAAAUCCCUGCUCAGUCA